CCAGCCCUGGAGCCUACAGUGAGUGUUGGCUGGGGCCGGGUUCUGGCCCCCAAAUGGCGGCCUCCAGGGAAGCUCAUGCUGAUGAUUAUUACCCAGUACCUCUGCCGCCAGUGUCUUUGUCCCCGCAGUGAGCCACAGGAGACCCUGCCUCUCCAGGAGACCCUCCAAGACCAGCAGCAUUAAAAUGUGAACUGGGCCUCCUGGACUUGCUGAUGCAGUGUUCCCACCCACCCCGGCCAUCUGCGUGGAUACACCAGAGCCCUUAUGCUUAUUCAGGUGGACCCCAUUCUCCCCCUGCCUGUCCUCAUCCGUGUUGUCUAGACCACGGCUGGCACCUGACCCAAUUUCCAAAAAUGAAAUGGGACUAAAUGGCUCCUGCCCCAGGCUGGUUGCUUUCUUGAGGGGAAGAGAUAUAAACUCUGGAGCUGAUGGAUGCAGUAAUCUUCUGCCACCUCAACGGGAAAACAAAGCCCUUGGCAACCUCUGAUCUGAUCUCUGCCUUUGUAAUUGUGUCACUUUAAAAAUGUCAUAUAAAUGGAAUUUUGCACCUGGCUUCUUCCGCUUAGAAGAAUGUG